rfam:Operophtera brumata OBRT01_Sc06417, whole genome shotgun sequence.
CCUUCGAUAGCUCAGUUGGUAGAGCGGUGGACUGUAGCUGGUAAAAACUGUCAUCCAUAGGUCGCUGGUUCAAAUCCGGCUCGAAGGA